UGUGCUUCGCUCUCCACUGAUGUGUGCCCAUUUUUGAAGUGGUUAUACCACUCUUUUAUUUGCGUUAUGUUCAUGGCAUCAUUGCCAAAAGCCUGCUGAAUCUUGUGAAUGGUUUCUGCUUGGGUAUCACCAAGCUGUUGGCAAAAUUUGAUGCAGUACCUUUGCUCAAGCAAGUUCUGUCAUGUUAUAGCAAAUAAGAAUCUGAUGGAAUUAUCAUUUGUAAC